GACGUAGGGCGCGAGCGUUGUCCGGAUUUAUUGGGCGUAAAGAGCUCGUAGGCGGCUUGUUGCGUCGACCGUGAAAACCCGUGGCUUAACUGCGGGCUUGCGGUCGAUACGGGCGGGCUGGAGUUCGGUAGGGGAGACUGGAAUUCCUGGUGUAGCGGUGAAAUGCGCAGAUAUCAGGAGGAACACCGGUGGCGAAGGCGGGUCUCUGGGCCGAUACUGACGCUGAGGAGCGAAAGCGUGGGAGCGAACAGG
rnacentral:rRNA from 1 species